GACGAACGCUGGCGGCGUGCCUAAUACAUGCAAGUUGAGCGCUGAAGGUUGGUACUUGUACCAACUGGAUGAGCAGCGAACGGGUGAGUAACGCGUGGGGAAUCUGCCUUUGAGCGGGGGACAACAUUUGGAAACGAAUGCUAAUACCGCAUAAAAACUUUAAACACAAGUUUUAAGUUUGAAAGAUGCAAUUGCAUCACUCAAAGAUGAUCCCGCGUUGUAUUAGCUAGUUGGUGAGGUAAAGGCUCACCAAGGCGAUGAUACAUAGCCGACCUGAGAGGGUGAUCGGCCACAUUGGGACUGUGACACGGCCCAAACUCCUAGGGGAGGCAGCAGUAGGGAAUCGUCGGCAAGGGACGAAAGUCUGACCGAGCAACGCCGCGUGAGUGAAGAAGGUUUUCGGAUCGUAAAACUCUGUUGGUAGAGAAGAACGUUGGUGAGAGUGGAAAGCUCAUCAAGUGACGGUAACUACCCGGAAAGGGACGGCUAACUACGUG
rnacentral:rRNA from 1 species